rnacentral:rRNA from 1 species
AACACAUGCAAGUCGACUCGAGUCUCGGACUGGUGGCGCACGGGUGAGUAACGCGUAAGAACUUGCCUCUUAGACCGGACAACAUCUGGAACGGAUGCUAAUACCGGAUAUUAUGGUUUUUUCGCAUGGAGGAAUCAUGAAAGCUAGAUGCGCUAAGAGAGAGCUUUGCGUCCCAUUAGCUAGUUGGUGAGGUAACGGCCCACCAAGGCAAUGAUGGGUAGCCGGCCUGAGAGGGUGAACGGCCACAAGGGGACUGAGACACGGCCCUUACUCCUACGGGAGGCAGCAGUGGGGAAUAUUGGACAAUGGACCACAAGUCUGAUCCAAGCAAUUCUGUGUGCACGAUGACGUUUUUCGGAAUGUAAAGUGCUUUCAGUCGGGAAGAAGUCAGUGACGGUACCGACAGAAGAAGCGACGGCUAAAUACGUGCCAGCCGCGGC